UACAGAGGGCGCGAGCGUUACUCGGAAUUACUGGGCGUAAAGCGGGCGUAGACGGUCAUGUAAGUCGGGUGUGAAAUCCCCGGGCUCAACCUGGGAAUUGCAUUCGAGACUGCGUGGCUAGGGUGCGGAAGAGGGAAGCGGAAUUUCCGGUGUAGCGGUGAAAUGCGUAGAUAUCGGAAGGAACAUCAGUGGCGAAAGCGGCUUCCUGGUCCAGCACCGACGUUCAGGCACGAAAGCGUGGGGAGCAAACAGG
rnacentral:rRNA from 1 species